rnacentral:rRNA from 1 species
UACGAAGGGGGCUAGCGUUGCUCGGAAUCACUGGGCGUAAAGCGCACGUAGGCGGAUCUUUAAGUCAGGGGUGAAAUCCUGGAGCUCAACUCCAGAACUGCCUUUGAUACUGAGGAUCUUGAGUCCGGGAGAGGUGAGUGGAACUCCGAGUGUAGAGGUGAAAUUCGUAGAUAUUCGGAAGAACACCAGUGGCGAAGGCGGCUCACUGGACUGGUAUUGACGCUGAGGUGCGAAAGCGUGGGGAGCAAACAGG